UCAGCGGAGAACACGCCUCACUGUGUGGCACAGCCCCUCUGGCUGCCUGCCCAAGGGUCUUCCAACAGAGCUGCUGCCCACAGCCAGAGAGCCCCCAGGGAGGGCCUCCCCCCGGCCCCUCAUCCCCACUGAGAGCUUGUCUGGCCUCCCAACUUCAGAGCCACCACCUCCUGCAUAAGCGAUGCGGACAGUCUGGCCACCUGCUCCGUCUUCCACCUGUUGUGGGCACCGCAGAGGUUUGGCCACAGUGGGGGCAGGGACACCGGCAUCCUCUGGGGCUGGCGCCAUGCCCAGCAGCUGUGGCCACCUAAGCGAUAUUUUCAUGUGGCUCACAGACCUGGGGAGUUUAAUCUGGCAAGGGAUGUCAAGGAGAACAAGAAGGGCUUCUUUAAAUACAUCGGUAACAAAAGGAAAAGUAGGGGGAAAGGUGGGCCUGCUGCUGAAUGGGGAAGGGGCCUUCAGGACAGAGAAUACAGAAAAGGCCGAGGUACUGAAUGCCUUCCUUGCUUCAGUCUUUAACAUUAUGCACAGGCCAAGAAACCAAAACAACAAAGCUGUGCAAUGCAGACCUACACAGAAACAGUGUACAGGGACACCGGGGAAAAAGACAUGACCCCUGAUGUGAUCAUGCAGCCCUUGGCCUCAUGCUAGUGCAGAGCUGACCCCACAACACAGCGCUACUGCUCUGUUAAGGCACUACUGACAUGCCCCAGAUGAGCACAGUGUCCCUGUGGAGAUGGUGACCCCCACACUGUCCCUUCAGAGGCAUCCCCUCAUGACCCUUUAGGACUCACCGCUGGAAACAGAGAUGAGAUGAUCCUGGCCUCUGCUCCUCCUGGCAUCUCUCCUGCCCCACAGCCUCACUCUUCAGUGCCGUCCGUAGCUCUAGCAGCAGUGUUUCUUCCAAACGCUCCCCUCUGGCCCCAGUCUCACCCAGGCCCUUUCUGCAGUUUCUCUCUUCCUCCCAUCGCUAACUCCUCCCUCCAUCCCUCUCUCUCUACACCUCUUUUUGCUGAAAUCCCACAGAAAAUUAAUGGGGAUGGGGGAGGGGGGGAUGACUAGGACAGGAGAUAGCACACACUCUCACCGCCCUCAGCUCUCCCUAUGCCUCCUGAGGGAAAAGUUGACCAGGAAAACCUCAGGCAGAGAAGGCCCUGAGGGCCUCUGCCCUUUCCGUGGGGUUCAGUAUACUGAAUUAUUAACAGAUUUUGCCUUUCCAUUUUUCAUUUCUCUGCAGCAAAAAAUAGUGCACUCAGCUUUACACACUGCAUUUAUGAGGCAUCAUCUCCUCUCUGAAGUCUGGUUUCAAAGCUAGAAGUUGUGAAUGAAUACCUUCCUUUUGGAAAAGCUCUGAAGCAGGGAGUGUUUGAGGUAGAUUAAUGCAUGGGAGAGGAAGAGCUGCAAGUCACUGAACACUCUCAGGGUGGGAGAAAUCUUCACAGCCCUUGACACGUCUCUCAAGUCCAGAGGAAGCAAAUGUCCAACAGCAGCUCCUUCAAUGAGUUCCUCCUCCUGGCCUUCGCGGACAUGCGGGAGCUGCAGCUCUUGCACUUCUCACUCUUCCCGGGCAUCUACCUGGCUGCCCUCCUGGGAAAUGGACUCAUCAUCACAGUCGUAGCCUGAGACCACCGCCUCCACUCCCUAUGUACUUCUUCCUCCUCAAUCUAUCCCUCCUUGAUCUUGGCUCCAUCUCUACUACUGUCAGUGGGGAUGUAUGGAGCGCUGCCUGAGGAGAGGUGAGGGCUUAGCUGAGAGCAGGAUUAGUGGACAGACCAGCAGGGGUGACAUUGUAGUGGGUGUCUGCUGUUGACCACCUGGUCAGGAAGAAGAAGUAGCCGAGGCCUUCUUCAGAGAAUUGGAAGAAGCUUCCUGUUUGCAAGCCCCGGUCCUCAUGGGGACUUCAAGGCCCCUGAUAUAUGCUGGAGACACCCCACAGCAGGGCACAAGCAAUCCAGGAGGUUUCUGGCGUGCACUGAUGACAACUUCCUAACACAGGUGAUGGAGGAGCCAGUGAGGAGAGGUGCUCUGUUGGACCUCAUACUUACAACAAAGGAAGAGCCGAUCGGAGAUGUGAAAUUCAGGGGCAGUCUUGGCUGCAGCACCCAUGAGAUGGUGGAGUUCAGGGUCCUGUGAGGAGGAAGCAGGGCAAAAAGCAGGAUCACCACCCUGGACUUCAGGAGAGCAGACUUCAGCCUGUUCAGGGAGCUGCUUUGGAGAAUCUCUGGGAAUACAGGAGGGAGGAGGGGUCCAAGAGCAUCUACCGAUAUUCAAGGAUCACCUCCUCCAGGCUCAAGCAUGGUCUAGCCCAACAAGCAGGAAAUCUAGCAAAGGCUUGAUCGAGAAAGUACUUGAAAAGAACGGAUUAGAGCUGAACAGAAGAUCGAACUCUUCUCCAUGGAAAUAUUGAUAGUUUUUAUAUAUGUAGAGUUACUGAAACAGUUUGUUUAAAGAGUAAGCUUCUCUUUUGUUACCUUUUCUUCACAUGCUAAUGGUCGCCUAAAACUGUCAGUGUUUACAUGGCUCAAGAUUACCAGUGAACCUUUUUAUCUUGUGCUAAAAUGGGAAAGUAAGAUUUAUUUAAAGUGACUUUGGCCUGGAACAUUUAUGAUGAAGCCUGUACCUCAUGCUACCCUGAUUAUUCUAUUGAAAUUUGUUAUGAGGGCCUGGUGGUCUUCUAGUGAGAACAGGUUAUUCUUCACUGUCAUGCUUUUGACUUCAAGAGAAGCACAGCAGAUAUGAAUAAACCUCCAGCUUGUUCAGCAGUUUGAACUUCCUACCUGAUAUUUCAGGCACUCUGCAGUUUAUGCAUCAGAGGGUUUUUUUCCAUUUUAGAACUUGCUGUCCUACAGUGAGUCAUCAAGCUCUAAUGCCUUCCUCAGUGAACAAAGAAACUGUGUCUGGCAGAAGACAGGGCUGUGACUGAGGACAUGAUGGAAAGAGGAAGUUUUGCAUUAGUUUUGUCACUUUGGUGUGUCUCCCUUGGGACACUAGUGUCCUUUACCCGUGUACCUAGUUCAUCAGAUUUUAUUAAGAUGAAACAAUUCUGCCAAAUGGAGUUGUCUCUUUGUGCUAGCACAGAUGUCUGCUCUGGAGCUUUCUUCUAGGCUCUAAGGAGACAAGAGAUGUGCUAGGGACAUGCAGCGUUAUAGGGAACACAUUCUCAUGAUUCAUUUAUUUUACCUUCAUAUGAGCCAUAGUUUCUGGUACUGGGAAUCAUGCCAGGGCUGCUAGGGAAGACACCAAUCCUAGACAAAGGUGCAAAGGCCUGAAGAGGUUGCUUUUUAGGGAUUUAAUCUCUUUGGAGGCUUACAUGCUCACAUUUCUAUUCAUUCCUGGUUCUGAAACAACUUUUCAAAUGAGCUUAAUGGUCAGAUGAUAAAGUAUUUGAAUAGUU